ACACCGGCAGCUCUAGUGGUAGCUGUUUUUAUUGGGCCUAAAGCGUUCGUAGCCGGUUUGGUAAGUCACUGGUGAAAUCCUGUAGCUUAACCAUGGGAAUUGCUGGUGAUACUGUUGAACUUGAGGUCGGGAGAGGUUAGCGGUACUCCCAGGGUAGAGGUGAAAUUCUGUAAUCCUGGGAGGACCACCUGUGGCGAAGGCGGCUAACUGGAACGAACCUGACGGUGAGGGACGAAAGCUAGGGGCGCGAACCGGAUUAGAUACCCGGGUAGUCCUAGCCGUAAACGAUGCGGACUUGGUGUUGGGACGGCUUUGAGCCGCUCCGGUGCCGAAGGGAAGCUGUUAAGUCCGCCGCCUGGGAAGUACGGUCGCAAGACUGAAACUUAAAGGAAUUGGCGGGG
rnacentral:rRNA from 1 species